ensembl:rRNA 5S_rRNA 5S ribosomal RNA
GCCCAUAGCCAUACCAGCCUGAGUGAGCCCGAUCUUGUCUGUUCUCAGAACCUAAGCAGGGUCAGGCCUGGUUAGUACUUAAUGGGAGAAUAGCUUAUUUGAAAGAUACUUAUUUUGUUCU